UGGGGAAUCUUGCACAAUGGGGGAAACCCUGAUGCAGCGACGCCGCGUGAGCGAUGAAGCCCUUCGGGGUGUAAAGCUCUUUCGGCAGGGACGAUAAUGACGGUACCUGAAGAAGAAGCUGCGGCUAACUACGUGCCAGCAGCCGCGGUAAUACGUAGGCAGCGAGCGUUGUUCGGAGUUACUGGGCGUAAAGCGUGCGUAGGCGGCGGCCCAAGUCUGGUGUGAAAUCUCCCGGCUUAACCGGGAGGGUGCGCCGGAAACUGGGUUGCUUGAGUGCCGGAGAGGCAGGCGGAAUUCCUGGUGUAGCGGUGAAAUGCGUAGAUAUCAGGAGGAACACCCGUGGUGUAGACGGCCUGCUGGACGGCCACUGACGCUGAGGCACGAAAGCGUGGGGAGCAAACAGGAUUAGAUACCCUGGUAGUCCACGCCCUAAACGAUGCAUACUUGGUGUGGGCAGUUCAGUCUGUCCGUGCCGAAGCUAACGCGAUAAG
rnacentral:rRNA from 1 species